UAUCUCUGUAGAGUCUGCAUAUCAAUAAGCGGAGGAAAAGAAACUAACUAGGAUUCCCUCAGUAACGGCGAGUGAAGCGGGAAGAGCUCAAAUUUGAAAUCUUCAAGGUUCUACCUUGACGAAUUGUAGUUUAAAGAAGUGUCUUCUGUUGGAGUUUUGGUAAAAGUUCUUUGGAAUAGGACAUCAUAGAGGGUGAGAAUCCCGUAUUUGACCAUUAUUUUCAGCUGUGUGAUACAGCUUUCAAAGAGUCGGAUUGUUUGGGAAUGCAGUCCAAAAUGGGUGGUAAAUUUCAUCUAAAGCUAAAUAUUGGCGAGAGACCGAUAGCGAACAAGUACCGUGAGGGAAAGAUGAAAAGAACUUUGAAAAGAGAGUUAAACAGUACGUGAAAUUGUCAAAAGGGAAGCGUUUGACACCAGUGUUGUUUUCUCGAAAAUCAAUUAAAAAAAGGUUGGAUUUUGUGUUGUAUUGACCUUAUCAGCUUUCUGCACUCUUUUCCUGUCUUUUUUUAAUGCACUUUUCGUUUAACAAGUCAACAUCAAUUUCUUUUGUUGUAAAAGGGUCAUUGGAAGGUGGCUUUCUUUUCGGAGAAAGUGUUUAUAGCCUUUGGCCUCUGCAAUCGGAGAGAUUGAGGUCUGCAGCGUAGAUCCUUCGGGGUUAGAUACAUUUGUGCUAAGUUAUAGCCUUUCAUAGACAACUUGUUGACUAUGAUCAGUCAUGUAGCUUACUCGCUUAUGCUAUUUUACCUACGCUUAGGAUGUUGAUCUGUAGUGCGUGCGC
rnacentral:rRNA from 1 species